CCAGAGACGUCUAACCGUGGUCUUCCAUGGUGCUAAGGAAAGGUUGCAGGCGGCUGCCGCACGGAGGAAGGAACGGCAUGACCAAGGAGCCAAGAAUGUUCCAUUGGAGGUAGGACAGUUCGUCUAUCUUCGAGACCACGGAGUGAGAGGGCGCACCAAGAUCCAGGACGCCUGGAGCCCAAUCCUACAUCAAGUGGUUCGAGCCCCACCCCCUGGUGGUGUGGUAUACUCCGUAGCCCCCGUGCAUGACCUCAAUGGGAGUCGGCAAGUACACCGGGUGAUGCUAAAGCUUGCCCGCCAAAACCACCGCCCAGAGCCUCCCGAUGUACCCUUGGAGCCUAUGAUAGCAGCUGAUCAUGAGACUGAAGAUCACACCGGUCAGUGGGUCGUGGUGAGGGCACCCGGAGUCCAGACACAGCCUGCCCAUCUUGACCCAGUGGCCCCUCCCCCUGAACUGUCGGAUCCAUCUAGCCCCCUGGUGCAAGUCGACCCGUCUGCUCCGGCUCCAUUAACUCCUACAGCAGCUAGCCCUGAUCACGGCGCCCUAGCUCCACGGCGGACCUCCCGGACCACUGCUGGAAGACAUGGAAAUCUCCAUCGGCUCCCGGUAUCAGUGGUGAGUAGGACAGACGGGGCUACGAACCCCCAGGUACCUGGCUCUAGCAGUAAUAUGACAGCAGUUUUCAGACCCUGGUGUUAAUAGGACCCUGUUUUUAUUUGUUGUCCUAGAUCCAGUGCUUUAUUUUAUUUUUAUUUAUCUGCGGGACGCCGAUAAAGAAUGGGGGGGUAGAAUGUAACCGGCAGACUAACUGCUGUACCAAGUUUGUCCUCCUGUUCUCACCGUAGCUCCUCUCCUAUCGGUCACGCCCUCCAGUUAGCUUGCAGGUGGCUAUGUACUCAUUAGCGUCAAUGGCACUUUCUAUAAGACCGGCACCGGAGGUGGGCUAGUAAGUGAUCCCUAGGCUCCGUACGUCCUCCCUACACUGUGUUCGCUGUGCUGUCACCUAUGAAAGGUAUUUGGCUGUGUACCAGACGCUUCCGGGUAGUGUUUUGUUGAUCUACCGAAGGUCUUGACUGAAAAGACGCCGUGUACGCGCAGGUUGCACUUUCUAUUGGGAGAUGCGUUAAGGUAACAUUGGCUGUAUAUCUCAGUAAGGUUUGCCAUGUAAUAUGUGUGUGUGCAUGUGUACAUAUGUAUGUUUAUAUGCAUGUUUACAGUAACUGGAUCUACUAUAAUGUGUCAUGUUUCGCUGUAAGUCCUUGUGAUUUAACUAGCCAAUAACCUUUUAUUAUGUUGUAUGUGAGCGAUGCUUGUGUGUGAUUUUAUGUAGGUUUGCGUACUGGAGAGAUACCAGGGAGUCCCAUUUCCAUUCAUGUUGAGUGCUGUAUUCCUAGAGGUAAAAGGAAACCGUGUUGUAUUGUAUCUGUAUUGGUUUAGGCUGUAUUUACCAUAAACAAUGGAUUUUAACUGUGUUUGUUUACUCCUUUAGAAAGAUUGCCACUGCUGCUUUGCCUCCUGUAGAUUUAAGUAAUUGUAGCUCUUGCCUCAUUUUGUUUUCUUUAUUUUGUUUUGUUUGUCCGAUUGAUUUGGCCUAAACAUAGGCGUGGCUGGUUUCAUUUAUUUGCCCUCCGUCGUGGUGUGUCGGCAACAGGUGUGGUAUUGGCUGCCCCAGUAUUUUGCUGCGGUAAUGUGUGAUGGUAGUAAUGCUAACAUCUAGCUUUCUUGACCCAGCCAGUUAUUGCCAAUAGCAACCAUAUCUUCCCUUCUCCCCUCCAGAGAAACAGAGUGUUGCAGCUGUUCCGCGGGGCAGGUCGCCGGAUCUGAGUCCUCCUCUUCGUGUACUUCACACAGUAUUUGUAGUGGUAACGUGCACCUCACUAUUUGCAGUGAUCACUCUUUGUAGUACCUGUGCCUAUGCGAGCGUGUGUGUGUGUGUGUGUGUGUCUGUGAAUAGGCAACAGAAUCCGCAGCACGGGUGGUGUGUCGGUCUCACUCCUCUUCCAGGACAGGUAACCGCUCCCGAACAGCUGAUCAAAUUAACCCUACUUGAUUACAUGUAAUAUUCCUGGUGGCAGCCACUACCUUCCUCUUGCUGGCCUAUUGGGCCUAAUAUGUACUGCACUCCAUCCUGAGAAUCAAACCCAAGACUGACUUUUUAACUGAAUUGCUUGUGAAUAAAUAUUGUUUAUUUUUUCAUUGAAAUACCACGUCUCUGUCAUUACUGGCUUAUCUGUGUGCGAGAGCCCUCUUGUCUAAAUCAAGGUGUUGGAGGUCUAGCUAAAAUACAUCUUGGUGUGAAAGGCCCCAAGUGGCGUAGUCGAGCACUCUAUAGUCAAGACUCUUGUCAUCUGACUCCC